rnacentral:rRNA from 1 species
CCUACGGGCGGCAGCAGUGGGGAAUAUUGCGCAAUGGGCGAAAGCCUGACGCAGCGACGCCGCGUGAGGGAUGAAGGUCUUCGGAUCGUACACCUCUGUCAGCAGGGAAGAACGGUCCCUGUGCUAAUCAGCAGUGAAUUGACGGUAACUGCAAAGGAAGCACCGGCUCACUCCGUGCCAGCAGCCGCGUUAAUACGACGGGUGCGAGCGUUAAUCGGGAUUACUGGGCGUAAAGCGCUCGUAGGCGGUAUGUCAAGUCAAGGGUGAAAUCUCCGCGCUCAACGUGGGAACUGCAUUUGAAACUGGCAAACUGGAGUGUGUGAGAGGAUAGUGGAAUGCCAGGUGUAGAGGUGAAAGCCGUAGAUAUCUGGAGGAACAUCAGUGGCGAAGGCGACUAUCUGGCACAUAACUGACGCUGAGGAGCGAAAGCGUGGGUAGCAAACAGGAUUAGAUACCCGAGUAGUC